UACGUAGGGUGCAAGCGUUAAUCGGAAUUACUGGGCGUAAAGCGUGCGCAGGCGGUCUGUUAAGACCGAUGUGAAAUCCCCGGGCUUAACCUGGGAACUGCAUUGGUGACUGGCAGGCUUUGAGUGUGGCAGAGGGAGGUAGAAUUCCACGUGUAGCAGUGAAAUGCGUAGAGAAUCGGAAAGAACACCAACGGCGAAAGCACUCUGCUGGGCCGACACUGACACUGAGAGACGAAAGCUAGGGGAGCGAAUGGG
rnacentral:rRNA from 1 species